UACAGAGGUCCCAAGCGUUGUUCGGAUUCACUGGGCGUAAAGGGUGCGUAGGCGGCCUUGUAAGUCAGUGGUGAAAGCCUCCAGCUCAACUGGAGAACUGCCAUUGAUACUGCAAGGCUUGAGUACAGACGAGGUUGGCGGAAUUGAUUGUGUAGCGGUGAAAUGCAUAGAUACAAUCAAGAACUCCGAUUGCGUAGGCAGCUAACUAGGCUGUAACUGACGCUGAGGCACGAAAGCGUGGGGAGCGAACAGG
rnacentral:rRNA from 1 species